rnacentral:SRP_RNA from 1 species
GCCGGGCGUGGUGGCGCACGCCUGUAAUCCCAGCACUUUGGGAGGCAGAGGUGGGUGGAUCACCUGAGGUGAGGAAUUUGAGGCCAGCCUGGCCAACAUGGUGAAACCUCAUCUCUA